rnacentral:piRNA from 2 species
UAAUAAAGGGAAAUGAGUUUGAACUGAAAA